rnacentral:rRNA from 1 species
AAAUAUAACAGGUCCAUCCUGCCCAGUGAUCUUUUAUUAUACGGCCGCGGUAUCCUAACCGUGCAAAGGUAGCAUAAUCAUUUGCCUUUUAAUUGGAGGCUUGUAUGAACGGACCCACAAGAAUAAAUCUGUCUCACUUGAAUUAAUAUAAACUGAUAUUAAGGUGCAGAAGCCUUAAUUAAAAUAAAGGACAAGAAGACCCUAUAGAGCUUUAUUAAUAACGGCCAUAAUACCUAAUUAUUAAUUUGGUUGGGGCAACCUAAAGACAAAACCACCUCUUUUUUUAUAUAUUCUACCCGCACCCAAAAAUGUAAUAGAAUAAGCUACCUUAGGGAUAACAGGCUAAUCCUACUAAAGAGACCACAUUGACAGUAGGGAUUGGCACCUCGAUGUUGGCUUA